rnacentral:rRNA from 1 species
UACGGAAGGGGCUAGCGUUGUUCGGAAUCACUGGGCGUAAAGCGCGCGUAGGCGGCCGGUCAAGUGCGGCGUGAAAGUCCUGGGCUCAACCCGGGAACGGCGCUGCGGACUGUCCGGCUGGAGUCCGGAAGAGGGUGGUGGAAUUCCGAGUGUAGAGGUGAAAUUCGUAGAUAUUCGGAGGAACACCGGUGGCGAAGGCGGCCACCUGGUCCGGUACUGACGCUCAAGCGCGAAAGCGUGGGGAGCAAACAGG